AUUGAACGCUGGCGGCAUGCUUUACACAUGCAAGUCGAACGGUAACAGGUUAAGCUGACGAGUGGCGAACGGGUGAGUAAUAUAUCGGAACGUGCCCAGUCGUGGGGGAUAACGCAGCGAAAGCUGUGCUAAUACCGCAUACGAUCUAUGGAUGAAAGCGGGGGACCGCAAGGCCUCGCGCGAUUGGAGCGGCCGAUAUCAGAUUAGCUAGUUGGUGGGGUAAAGGCCCACCAAGGCGACGAUCUGUAGCUGGUCUGAGAGGACGACCAGCCACACUGGAACUGAGACACGGUCCAGACUCCUACGGGAGGCAGCAGUGGGGAAUUUUGGACAAUGGGCGCAAGCCUGAUCCAGCAAUGCCGCGUGCAGGAUGAAGGCCUUCGGGUUGUAAACUGCUUUUGUACGGAACGAAGCGGCGAGCUUUAAUACAGUUUGCUAAUGACGGUACCGUAAGAAUAAGCACCGGCUAACUACGUGCCAGCCGCCGCAGUAA
rnacentral:rRNA from 1 species